UUCAUCUAGUUUGGUCGACGAAAAAUAUUAUAAACCGGCGAUUUGGGGCUCACUUAGCUUGAACCUUCCAAAUCCAAAGUCCCCAAUUCUCAAAAUUAGGGUACCCCCCAGUCGGCCAUAAAAAUAGUUAGUAUCUCAUUUUCAUUUUCAAGCCGGCCUAUUAUUAGGUCUCCGGAAUCACCCUAAUAAUCGGGCCUUUUCCUCUAUGGCGGAGCACUUGGCUUCGAUCUUCGGCACCGAGAAGGACAGGGUGAACUGCCCCUUCUACUUCAAGAUCGGCGCAUGUCGUCACGGCGAUCGUUGCUCUCGCCUCCACAAUCGCCCCACGAUCUCGCCGACCCUUCUCCUCUCCAACAUGUACCAGCGCCCGGACAUGAUCACACCCGGCGUGGACGCCCAGGGCAAGCCCAUCGAACCUCGUAAGAUCCAGGAGCACUUCGAGGACUUCUACGAGGAUAUCUUCGAGGAGCUCGACAAAUUCGGGGAGAUCGAGAGCCUCAACGUCUGCGAUAACCUCGCCGACCACAUGAUCGGCAACGUCUACGUUCAGUUCAAGGAGGAAGACCAGGCCGCCGCAGCAUUGCACGCCUUGCAGGGACGCUUCUACUCGGGACGCCCCAUUAUCGCCGAUUUCUCGCCCGUCACAGAUUUCCGCGAGGCCACGUGUCGGCAAUUCGAGGAGAACAAUUGCAACCGAGGCGGGUACUGCAAUUUCAUGCAUGUUAAGCUGAUUGGAAGGGAGCUGAGGAGGAAGCUCUUCGGGAGGUACCGUGGGUUUAGGAUUAGCCGGAGUCGGAGUUUGAGCCCGCGUCAUAAACGAGAGUAUAGGGAUUAUAGAGACAGGGACCGUGAUUAUCGAGGGAAUGGGAAGCGAUCGAGCAGGGAAAGGUAUGACAGGGAUGGUGGUGGUGGUGGUGGUGGUGGUGGUGGACGGAGAAGGCAUGGUAGCCCGAGGCGGAGCAGGAGCAGAAGCCCCGUACCCGGGAGGGAAGGGAGCGAGGAGCGGCGAGCUAGGAUUGAACAGUGGAAUCGGGAAAGGGAGGAUAGGCCGUGAUAUCUGGAGUGUUUUCCUUUUCAUUCGGUACGGGCCAGAUUUGGUAGCCCUGAAAAUUGGGCUUGCUGAGCUCAAAGUUGGUCAGAAACGGGUCCUGGUUUAGUUUUCUACUCUCAUACUUGUCCUUUUUUCUCUCUAAUGAUUUUCCAUUAAUGCUUUUAGGGCCAGAUCUGGCUGCCCUGAAAACUGGGGUUGCAGAACUCAAAGUUGGUCAGAAAACGGGUUCCUGGUUUUAUUUUCUGGUCAGAGACUUCUAUUUUUUUUUUCCUCCUACCUCUCUAAUAAUUUUUCCAAUUUUGCUUUUAGGGCCAGAUCCGGCAGCCCUGAAAACUGGGGUUGCCGACCUCAAAGUCGGUCAGAAAACAGGGCAAGUUGUCUGGUUAGAUGGUCUGCGGCUAACUACUUAUACGGCUGCUGCAGCUGCAAAAUUUUCCCAGGAAGCUAGGAUAUCAUAUUUGCAUGUUUUUGUGUUGUGGUUAGAUAGAUGCAUGAAUGAACCCAUCUAAUGAGGGUACUUCAACUAAUCUAGGUAGUUUAUUUUUUAUUUAUUCUUUAAGUUUUAACUUGA